rnacentral:rRNA from 1 species
UACGUAGGGUGCGAGCGUUAAUCGGAAUUACUGGGCGUAAAGCGUGCGCAGGCGGUUUUGUAAGCCAGAUGUGAAAGCCCCGGGCUCAACCUGGGAAUGGCGAUGGAUACUGGCUCGCUAGAGUGCGGUAGAGGAGAGUGGAAUUCCCGGUGUAGCAGUGAAAUGCGUAGAGAUCGGGAGGAACACCGGUGGCGAAGGCGGGUCUCUGGGCAUCUCCUGACGCUGAGGCGCGAAAGCGUGGGGAGCAAACGGG